AAGGCAUGCCUUUCUAGAACCUUGCGUCUAAAACAAAGGUGCACACCUAGUCGCAUAAGGCGCUAGAGUUUGAGCUUGGUGAGCCUUAAGCCAGAGGCGCGCCUUUAAUAACUAUGUUUUAGGCUCUGGAAAAUUCAUCUCUUAUGUCAGAGAAAAUAAAGAAUUUGUAUUAAUACCUUAGCCUGCCUAGUGGUGAGGGGGUGCCAAGAUUCAAAUCUCGCUAAUGAUAGAUCCCUCUCCCUCAAUACUACAAAAGAGAAAAAAAAAUCGUGUAUUUUAAAUGAUUGCAUUAAAUAUCUUUGUUCAUUCCUAAACUUUAGUGCCACCAGGUCGAAGUUGGAAAGCAUCUGAACUGCGCCUGAAGUCUUGGGAUGAUCUUCAUAAACUGUGGUAUGUUUUAUUAAAGGAGAAAAACAUGCUGAUGACUCAACGCCAGAUGCUUCAUGCCCAGAAACUAAGAUUCCCAAAUCCAGAGCGCUUACCCAAGGUGUAACUUACUUUCUUUUGCUUUUAAUUUGAGACAGCACGUGACUAUGGCGACUCUUGGCUCUUCAAACAUUGUAUUUGAUCUUCCAAUGUCUAUGGCUAAUUUAAAUGAGAUGCUAAUUUACUGUUCAAAAUAGUGAAUUGCUAAAAUAAAUGUGUUUUUGGUCAGGCUGCUCUUUAUGCCAUAUUGCCAUUGCAUCACCCAAGGAAGGAUUUGGUCCUGGUUUUGUUCUGUUAAUCUGAGCAUUCUUCUUCAUUAUCUGAAAAGAUGUUUAUGGCUUUCUAUGAUUCUGUUAUUUUUUUGGUAGCUAUUAAGUCACUAGUUGAAGGUAGCUAUUAAGCCUUCCCUGGCUUUGCAAGAAGGUAGUCUCCCUGUUGUGAGUCCUAUAUCUCCAGAUUGGAACCUAGAAUGGAACAACCUUAUUGUUGCACCAAGUCUCUUUGUCAUACUCGUCAUAUUUAAGUUCAGUUGUAAUUCAGAAAUGGUUUGCUAGAGAAGGGAUUAAUUACCUCUGCCUAUGUUAUGUAUUUAUAUUGGAUCUGACUUAUAAGAAGACUACAUUCUUUGUCAUGCCAUUAGCAGAGGCACUGUCUUUGUGACUUUGUUGGUCUGACUGAUACGGGAAACUUAACAACAGUGUUGUACUACUACGAACCUUGAAUAUCAAAAGGUUUCAAUCUUCAAUACCUUAAUUGAAAUAGGUGUCAUAUUCUAGCUGUAUUCAAUUGGUAUUAGGUAUGAUAGGCAGAGCCAGGUUUUGCUUGUGAAAAGUGAAAAGCUCCUUAACUUAGCUUGAUGCUACUAUUGCCACCUAACAUUAGGUAGAAAGCAGUUAUGUAAUGUUCGGAGCUGUAGUAUGCGAACCUGACUAAUUUGUUUAAUCAUCGCCAUGCCAGUGAGUCCUUAUGAUCAGCUUGAGAUGAGAUGCAAUAUCUCACUUGCACUUCUUUUAACAAUCUGCGUUAUACUGGAUUGGAAACACGCUAGAUAUGGGGAGUAUGAUGCUUUAGGUGACUAUGGAUAGCUAGUUCUGGCUUAACUUCCAAGUCUAAUGAAUUGGUUCCAUGGCAUAUGAUGCUUAAACUCUAUUAUUGGAACCAAUUAGAUUCUUGUAUACUGGGAAUUCUGUUGAUGGAUCCAGUUUCAGUGUGAUGUUUAUCUGUUUAGCUA
rnacentral:misc_RNA from 1 species